AUCACCUGGGAAUUGUGUUAAAAUGCAGAUUCUAAUUCAGUGAGUCUGGGGUGGGACUUGAGAUUUCUGCAUUUCUAACAAGGUCCUGUGUGAUGCCGA
rnacentral:pre_miRNA from 1 species